rnacentral:rRNA from 1 species
AUUGAACGCUGGCGGCAGGCCUAACACAUGCAAGUCGAGCGAGCGGCGGACGGGUGAGUAAUGUCUGGGAAACUGCCUGAUGGAGGGGGAUAACUACUGGAAACGGUAGCUGAUACCGCAUACCAUCAGAUGUGCCCAGCUGGGAUUAGCUAGUAGGUGUGGUAAUGGCUCACCAAGGCGACGAUCCCUAGCUGGUCUGAGAGGAUGACCAGCCACACUGGAACGGAGACACGGGCCAGACGCCUACGGGAGGCAGCAGUGGGGAAUAUUGGAAAAUGGGCGAAAGCCUGAUGCAGCCAUGCCGCGGGUGUGAAGAAGGCCUUCGGGUUGUAAAGCACUUUCAGCGGGGAGGCGGUACCCGCAGAAGAAGCACCGGCUAACUCCGUGCCAGCAGCCGCGGUAAUUC